CUGGCAGUAAACGGUGCAUACUUGGUGUGGGAGGAUUCGACCCCUCCUGUGCCGGAGCUAACGCGUUAAGUAUGCCGCCUGGGAAGUACGGUCGCAAGAUUAAAACUCAAAGAAAUUGACGGGGACCCGCACAAGCGGUGGAGUAUGUGGCUUAAUUCGAUGCAACGCGAAGAACCUUACCUGGUCUUGACAUGCAUCUUGUCGUCUGUGAAAGCAGACUAGGGUAGCAAUACCCGAUUUGCACAGGUGC
rnacentral:rRNA from 1 species